CUUUGUCUUGUGUGCACUGAGAAAGAGCGAAGAGAUUAUUCAGGCUCAGCUGAACGCAGCUCUAGCGCAAAACCCUGGACUCUGGUUGUCUUUUUUAGGAGACUUGAAUGUCUCACUGUCUGGCGUUUCGGUCCUGCCACGUGUCUCAAGUGUAGCAGGGCUACUGGAUCAGGCAGCGGAUCUGACUGAGGGACAUGUGACAUUAACAGUAGACCAAGCAGUAUAUCGUGUAGAAAUGAAACACGAGAACUUUAAAGAGGAAGUUAACGGGUCUGAAAGUGUCUGGAUAUGUGUCCUGGCUCAGGAGCGGUCGCUCUGCUUGAACAUCAGCAGGAACUCAAUGCAGCAUGGAGAGAACGGUCUUCAUGCUCAACUUAUUCACUCUUUUCCUUGGUUUCUCUCAGCAGGACUCCCGUUUACCUCCAGUGCAGCUCUGGAUGUAAAGCGGAAUGAAAGUGGGCUUUCUGUUGAGCUUGCACUCCAUGCUGGAGCCCAAGACCUGAAGCUCACACUUCAGAAGAAUCUGCACAACUCUACAGAAAUUA